GGAUUAUGGUAGUUUGGGCUUCGCACUGACCGGGUUCAGGGAACUUGGCUUUGAAUCUAAUUGCCAUUGUUCCUUCCUUGCAGGCUGAAAAUCCUUCCGCUUGUUUCCUGAAGCAGGUCAGCAGUGGAUGUGUUGAAAAGGUGACUGACUGCAAAGAUGGUGCUACACGUCUGACUUCCUGUGCAGUGGAGCUGAAGCAGGAAAUGAAAGAUCAAGUAUAUCCCAAGCAGAAACACUAUUGUCUGGGAUGCUGGUCUGGGAAGUCUGAUCCUGCCCAUUGAGACACAAACGGCCCUCACUGUGGCUCCAGGGCCCCCACCCACACCAGGCAUUACACCAACACCGAAGGGUCAGGGGUCAGUCUCUAAAAUGUUUAUGCUCCGUCCUGUGAUUUUGAACUCCCCCUGCUAUUUUGGUAGGAGCCCCAAAAUUUCAAAAUGACUUCAAAUGUGUAUUUUUGUUGUCACAGACUGGAGCUCUGAGAGACUGCUGGGGUGUAUUUAUGAACACUGUCUCCGAUGGUAAAGAUCAACGGCUGCUCUCACCACAGUGACAUUUGGCCGGUUAACUGCAAUCACUAUAGGGAAAUAAUAGUGAACACAAUGGAAGCUAUAUUUUAUUUUAGUUCAUUAUAAAAGCAGGGUAAUAUAUACACAGUGUAUGUGUGUGUGUCUUUGUAUAGAUAGAUAGAUAGAUAGAUAGAUAGAUAGAUAGAUAGACAGACAGACAGAUAGAUAGAUAGAUAGAUAGAUAGAUAGAUAGAUAGAUAGAUAGAUAGAUAGAUAGAUAGAUAGAUAGAUAGAUAGAUAGAUAGAUAGAUAGAUAUAGAUAGAUAGAUAGCACAAAAUGUUUUGCUCAAAAAUUGCACGUCAUCAUGCAUACUUUUUUUUUUUUUUUUAAUAAAGAAAAUAUCAUCUAUACGUCA
ensembl:lncRNA